rnacentral:rRNA from 1 species
AUUACUGACGCUGAAGCACGAAAGCGUGGGUAGCGAACAGGAAUAGAUACCCUGGUAGUCCACGCCGUAAACUAUGCUCACUCGCUGUUGGCAAUAGAUCGUCAGCGGCUAAGGGAAACCGAUAAGUGAGCCACCUGGGGAGUACGAUCGCAAGAUUGAAACUCAAAGGAAUUGACGGGGGCCCGCACAAGCGGAGGAACAUGUGGUUUAAUUCGAUGAUACGCGAGGAACCUUACCUGGGCUUAAAUGUAGAGUGCAUAAAGUGGAAACAUUUUUUUCCUUCGGGACUCUUUACAAGGUGCUGCAUGGUUGUCGUCAGCUCGUGCCGUGAGGUGUCGGGUUAAGUCCCAUAACGAGCGCAACCCCUAUCGUUAGUUACCAGCACGUAGUGGUGGGGACUCUAGCGAAACUGCCGGUGUGAACCGUGAGGAAGGUGGGGAUGACGUCAAAUCAGCACGGCCCUUAUGUCCAGGGCUACACACGUGUUACAAUGGUCGGUACAGUGGGCAGCCACAUAGCAAUAUGGAGCUAAUCUCAAAAGCCGAUCUCAGUUCGGAUUGGAGUCUGCAACCCGACUCCAUGAAGGUGGAUUCGCUAGUAAUCGCGCAUCAGCCAUGGCGCGGUGAAUACGUUCCCGGGCCUUGUACACACCGCCCGUCAAGCCAUGGAAGUUUGGGGUGCCUGAAGUUCGUAACCGCAAGGAGCGACCUAGGGUAAAACAAAUGACUGGGGCU